CCGAGUAUCGGUACCCUUAUGGGUACCAGCUCCCACCAUCUGUGAACCUUUUUCGUUGCCUCGGCGUACCUGAUGGUACCCAUCCUCCGGCUUCCGGCUGGGGAGCGUACGCCGAUGGAUUUUCAAACCCGAUUUUAACCUUGAAAUCUGAGCAAAACAAAAUAAAAACA
rnacentral:misc_RNA from 1 species